rnacentral:rRNA from 1 species
CACGAGUUUGAUCAUGGCUCAGAUUGAACGCUGGCGGCAUGCCUAACACAUGCAAGUCGAACGAAGUCUUCGGACUUAGUGGCGCACGGGUGCGUAACGCGUGGGAAUCUGCCCUUGGGUACGGAAUAACUCAGAGAAAUUUGUGCUAAUACCGUAUAAUGUCGUAAGACCAAAGAUUUAUCGCCCAAGGAUGAGCCCGCGUAAGAUUAGCUAGUUGGUGAGGUAAAAGCUCACCAAGGCGACGAUCUUUAGCUGGUCUGAGAGGAUGAUCAGCCACACUGGGACUGAGACACGGCCCAGACUCCUACGGGAGGCAGCAGUGGGGAAUAUUGGACAAUGGGCGAAAGCCUGAUCCAGCAAUGCCGCGUGAGUGAUGAAGGCCCUAGGGUUGUAAAGCUCUUUUACCCGGGAUGAUAAUGACAGUACCGGGAGAAUAAGCUCCGGCUAACUCCGUG